CGGCGCACGGGUGAGUAACGCGUAUCCAACCUUUCCGUACACUCAGGGAUAGCCUUUCGAAAGAAAGAUUAAUACCUGAUGGUAUGAUGAGAUUGCAUGAUAGCAUCAUUAAAGAUUUAUCGGUGUACGAUGGGGAUGCGUUCCAUUAGGUAGUAGGCGGGGUAACGGCCCACCUAGCCAACGAUGGAUAGGGGUUCUGAGAGGAAGGUCCCCCACAUUGGAACUGAGACACGGUCCAAACUCCUACGGGAGGCAGCAGUGAGGAAUAUUGGUCAAUGGACGAGAGUCUGAACCAGCCAAGUAGCGUGAAGGAUGAAGGUCCUACGGAUUGUAAACUUCUUUUAUAAGGGAAUAAACCCUCCCACGUGUGGGAGCUUGUAUGUACCUUAUGAAUAAGCAUCGGCUAACUCCGUGCCAGCAGCCGCGGUAAUACGGAGGAUGCGAGCGUUAUCCGGAUUUAUUGGGUUUAAAGGGAGCGCAGACGGGUCGUUAAGUCAGCUGUGAAAGUUUGGGGCUCAACCUUAAAAUUGCAGUUGAUACUGGCGUCCUUGAGUGCGGUUGAGGUGUGCGGAAUUCGUGGUGUAGCGGUGAAAUGCUUAGAUAUCACGAAGAACUCCGAUUGCGAAGGCAGCACACUA
rnacentral:rRNA from 1 species